CCUACGGGCGACAGCAGUGAGGAAUAUUGGUCAAUGGACGAGAGUCUGAACCAGCCAAGUAGCGUGAAGGAUGACUGCCCUAUGGGUUGUAAACUUCUGUUAGAUGGGAAUAAAAUGUUCCACGUGUGGGAUUUGGUAUGUACAAUAGGAAUAAGGAUCGGCUAACUCCGUGCCAGCAGCCGCGGUAAUACGGAGGAUCCGAGCGUUAGCCGGAUUUAUUGGGGUGAAUGGGAGCGUAGGUGGAUUGUUAAGUCAGUUGUGAAAGUUUGCGGCUCAACCGUAAAAUUGCAGUUGAAACUGGAAGUCUUGAGUACAGUAGAGGUGGGCGGAAUUCGUGGUGUAGCGGUGAAAUGCUUAGAUAUCACGAAGAACUCCGAUUGCGAAGGCAGUUCACUGGACUGCAACUGACACUGAGGCUCGAAAGUGUGGGUAUCAAACAGGAUUAGAUACCCGUGUAGUC
rnacentral:rRNA from 1 species